rnacentral:rRNA from 1 species
CGCAGGCGGGUGCGGAAGUCGGGGGUGAAAGGCCGGGGCUCAACCCCGGAGGGUUCUCUCGAUACUCCGUGCCUUGGGACCGGUAGAGGCCAGUGGAAUUCCCGGAGUAGCGGUGGAAUGCGUAGAGAUCGGGAAGAACACCGGAGGCGAAGGCGACUGGCUGGGCCGGAUCCGACGCUCAGGCGCGAAAGCGUGGGGAGCAAACA